GACGAACGCUGGCGGCGUGCCUAACACAUGCAAGUCGAGCGGAGUCGAUCGACGGAAGCCUUCGGGCGGAAGAUGGUUGACUUAGCGGCGGAUGGGUGAGUAACGCGUGGGCAACCUGCCUCGAAGACCGGGAUAACAGCCCGAAAGGGCUGCUAAUACCGGAUGUGGUCAAAGAUCCGCAUGGAUUUUUGAUUAAAGGGGAAACCCGUUUCGAGAUGGGCCCGCGUCCUAUCAGCUAGUGGUGAGGUAAAAGCUCACCAAGGCGACGACGGGUAGCCGGCCUGAGAGGGUGACCGGCCACACUGGAACUGAGACACGGCCCAGACUCCUACGGGGGCAGCAGUGGGGGAUCUUGCACAAUGGGCGAAAGCCUGAUGCAGCGACGCCGCGUGAGCGAAGAAGGCCUUCGGGUUGUAAAGCUCUGUCUGGAGGGACGAAGGAAGUGACGGUACCUCCGGAGGAAGCCACGGCUAACUACGUG
rnacentral:rRNA from 1 species